UACAGAGGGUGCGAGCGUUGUCCGGAAUCACUGGGCGUAAAGGGCGCGUAGGUGGCCUGGUAAGUAGGGGGUGAAAUCUCGCGGCUCAACUGCGAGGCUGCCUCCUAAACUGUCAGGCUCGAGCAGAGUAGAGGCAGGUGGAAUUCCCGGUGUAGCGGUGAAAUGCGCAGAUAUCAGGAAGAACACCCGUGGCGAAGGCGGCUCUCUGGGACGUUACUGACGCUGAGACGCGAAAGCUAGGGGAGCAAACAGG
rnacentral:rRNA from 1 species